rnacentral:rRNA from 1 species
AUGUCGCUGAAAGGCUACCACGAAGCCUCACUGCAUCCGCCGGCUGCGUAUGACGCGGCGGCGGCGGCGCCGGAGGCAGCGGAGUGGGACUGGGGGGAAGCCCUCCUCGACAGAUCCGCCUACAUGGUCGACAAGAAAGACCACGAGAAAAACCAUACCUCCGCCUGCCGUCGAUUUCGGAGGAGCCUGCACGACAGGGAGGUGGAGGUGGAGAUGCAGGUCAGCCUGUUCAUGGCGCCGCCGCCUCGCGUUUCCUACUUUUGCUGCUCCGCCAACUGCACCGACAACGACCACGGUGAACAAGGAGACACCCCCCGCUUGUUCAUCCGCGAGCCUUGGAUGAUCGCCACGGAGGGUGACCUUGCCCUCUUCACUCUCUGCCACGGCCACAACCGUUCCUUCUACUCCGAAAGCAGCAACUACGACUACUUCCUCUACCAGGCAGCAGCCUCACCGGCGGGGAAGCCGGAACUCACCCGGCUCCCGCGGCCCCAACCCAACAUGCUACCAGCUUUCGGAAGUCGCUGCUUCCCUACCGGCAGUAUUGGCAUCUUGCGUUACUGCAGCAACAUCCCCACCGCCGCCCACAAAAUCCCCUUGACGCCCCCCACCCCUAUCCCCAGCCCCUCCGUCGCCCUUCCCCGCCCCCAAAGUAUCCCCUUCACGCCCCCCACUUCCGUCCUCAGCCCCUCCGUCACCUCAUAUUCUCAAGCCCGCCCCAAGGAUGAUGCCUGUGAUGCCUACAGGAUUGCGGCGCUAGCCUACGACCCUUUCCACCCCAGCCAUUCCGGAUACUACCUCUGCACCUACGACUCCAAGGACCCUCGGUGGAGACGCACGCCCGCUGCCUCUCCACAGCCACCACCGCCUGAAGACUUUGUGUCCAGCAAGGUCAUCACCAUCCGCCGCUCUGGCUCCGGCUCCUGUUCCGGCAUCAUGGGCUGGGUCGACCUCUGGAGUGGCAUGCUCCUCUGUGACGUGCUCGCUGCCGCCGCCGACACCCUCUGCAUCCCGCUUCACUAUCUCACCUUUCCAGAGCCGAGGCAGCUGCGAACUGAGCUCCCUCUUGCCACAGACAUUGGAUACCACUUUCGGGACAUCGCCCUAGCCAAUGACUCCGGCAUCAUCAGGUUUGUCGACCUUCAGGUCCACGCCGAACCCAGCCCGCGCUCGCAAACUCCUAGUGGCUGGACGGUGGUCACGUGGACCUUGGAGGGGCUCAAUGGCGGUCUGGAUGCCCUGUUUUUCCGGCAGGAGCACGAGAUCCAUUCUGGACAUAUCCACGGCUACAACCUGCCUCAGUCUCUCUUUGUUUCCAACCCCAUCCUCAGCUCCGACAGAGAUGGCGUCCUCUACCUCUUGACCAAUGCCAGCAGCGAAAACACCAACAACAUGCCGUCGAAGGUGAUUGCUCUUGACCUCAACCAGAAGAUGUUGCUGGACGUGCAGGAAUUCGACAGGCAAAGACCCAGCUCCUACAUGACCACUAGCAUCUCCAGCUAUCUCAUGCCAGCUGCUGCAGUUUCAAAGGAGAAGGAGAGUAUGAAACGGCGUGCGCCAAAGUCUAUGGGAUCCGCUCGCAAGAAGCAGCCUGCCAUCGCUAACCCAGCAGCGGUAGGAGGAAAGGGUGAUGUCGGGGAUGCAAUGGACUUGUCACAGUAG